AAGGGCACCACAAGAACGCGUGGAGCAUGUGGCUUAAUUUGACUCAACGCGGGGAAACUUACCGGGUCCGGACACACUGAGGAUUGACAGGCGCUUACCAUGUGAGGAGGUCUUCGGACCGUAAUCACUGGUAAACCAAAUAUGCUAGCCCUUUCAUGAUUGUGUGAUAGGUGGUGCAUGGCCGUUCUUAGUUCGUGGAGUGAUCUGUCUGCUUAAUUGCGUUUCACUUAACAUGGGGUAUGCCUCUUGUCAUUGCUGUUCCUUUUCAUUAAGGACCAAUGUUCAAGCUGGCUAUAGUCCCCAGAAGGCAACGAACGUGACCGCAGCUUCUUGUUGCACGUUGGCGUGCUGUUCUUUUGAACUCACGUAGUGCUAACUAGAAGGACCGCUAGUGACUCUAAAACAGAGGAAGGAUGCGGCAAUAACAGGUCUGUGAUGCCCUUAGAUGUUCCGGGCUGCACACGUGCUACAAUGAUUGCAUCAGUAAGCAUCUAUCAAGUUGAUUUUGUUUUUUCCUUCACUGGUUAAAACAAAGAGAGGUUGUUGUUAGCAAUAACAACACCUUUUACAAGACCUACUGUGAGAACUAGUAGGCAAUCACUUGACAGUAGCAAAGUUCCCCAUAGCGCACAUUAAAUGUCCCUUGCUCAGCUCCAGUUUUCGGACUGGCUUUGUUAUGUUGACUUGGUGACAUGUGCUCCUUUAGUUCGUGGUAGGGACAGACCAUUGAUAAUUGUUGGUCUCGGUCUCAACUAGGAAUGCCUAGUACGGGUUGGUUCAACAAACCACCCGGAAUACGUCCCUGUCUUUUGUACACACCGCCCGUCGCUCUUUCCGAUGGACUUUUCUGUGAGUUUGAGGGACUGGCGCUUGUUUGUUCUUCGGAACCUUGCGCUAUGGAAACUUAAACGAACAGUGUGGUCUAAAGGAAAGAGAAGUCG
rnacentral:rRNA from 1 species